CCUACGGGUGGCAGCAGUGAGGAAUAUUGGUCAAUGGUCGGGAGACUGAACCAGCCAAGCCGCGUGAGGGAUGAAGGUACAGAGUAUCGUAAACCUCUUUUGUCAGGGAACAAAGGCGGGGACGUGUCCCCGGAUGGGUGUACCUGAAGAAAAAGCAUCGGCUAACUCCGUGCCAGCAGCCGCGGUAAUACGGAGGAUGCGAGCGUUAUCCGGAUUUAUUGGGUUUAAAGGGUGCGCAGGCGGAUUGUUAAGUCAAGGGGCAAAGCCCGGGGCUCAACCCCGGCACGCCGGUUAAACUGGGCCGUCUCGAGUUGGAGAGAGGUAUGCGGAAUGCGGGGUGUAGCGGUGAAAUGCAUAGAUAUCGCGCAGAACUCCGAUUGCGAAGGCAGCAUGCCGGCUCCACACUGACGCUGAGGCACGAAAGCGUGGGUAUCGAACAGGAUUAGAUACCCCAGUAGUC
rnacentral:rRNA from 1 species